rnacentral:lncRNA from 1 species
UAUGGGGAGCAUUAUCUCCACAAGUUUUACAGGCCUCGCUCAAUGUGGCUCCAGAGUUUGAGCAGCUUUUCAGGGCGAAGAUAAAAAAGAGCACCAUUCUUGUUCCUCCACAGAACUAGAUUGAUUAAUAACCAAAGGCCCUCAUGAUGUAUCAUCAUUUGUUUUCAGGAGUUACAGGGCUAUCAAAAUACAAUAAUUGUACUCCUAAGUAUUUCUUUUAUAUGUGUAUCCGUGAGAUGGAAAAUGUUGUACAACUAUUAAUUAUAUGGCAAUAAAUUAGGUUAUGAACCUUAGUGUACUCAUUCUGAGUGCAUAUAUAUUUGUCUAUGAGAGUGAUGGUUUUAUUCCCAUCUUUAACCUAAUUGACUAAUGAAAGUGGACAAUGCUAUCAUCUCUUUCCUUCAAUCAAUCAUCACCCACGUCCCCAUUAUCAAGGGGCCUUGCACCGCUGUCAUUCCUUCUCAUGAAAGAGAGUCAAAGGCGAAUCUACAAGGGGAUAUUCUUGGAUCAGAGGUAGAUCCAAGGCUAUAAACUCGGCGGACCACAGCUUUGAGUAGUUCCGCGCAGCAUACUGCAAUGACAACCCAUUCGUAUAUAUACCGAGUUCAGAGCCACAGCCAGGAGGGAUAAACUUUAGUCAAGAGGAGAACUGUCCAGAGAGACAGAGGGGGCAACGAUCAUGGGUUCUUUCUGUAAGCAUCAAAACGCUAACCCUGAUUAAUGAUUUCUCUCUUCUUUUCUAUAUCUAUGUGUGUGUUUGAUGAUUGGGUUGGUUGAUUUUUUCUUGUAUUUGCAUCAAUUGGGCCUGCAGUUCUUUGUAUUUGGGUUUUGUUAUUGAAGUUGAUUUGCUUCUGAUACUGGUGUUUCCCUUCUGGGUUUUGUUUGGUUUCCUCUUUUGGUUGUGGUCUUAUACUGGAUUGUUGGGUUUUUCUGGUUUUGUGCAAAUUAAUAGCCAAUGCCAAUGUACAGUAUCUGGGAAUGAGUUAACAGUUCCAAAACUGUUUUUUUUCAAUUAGAUUUUAGCCUUUUUUACAUCUAUGGAAAUCCAUUUUUCUGACUGGGUUUUGUUGGAUCACUUGAUUCUAUGUGCAUUGAUUUUUAAUUUGUAUAUACAGAUAUAUGCACAGGUAGCAUUAAUUGCAUUGAUAUUGGAUACCAGUCAAUACUUUGGAAAAAUAAUAUAUUUGUUAAUGAGGGUUGACUUAGGUUUCCCAGUCCAGAAUCUUACCUAGAUCCAGCCUGUUUAUGUAGUUUUUGGACCAACCUGAGAUUAACUCCAGCCUCAAGGAGUUGCCAGCUCUAGCAAGACCUGUCAUUGGGAGAUCAUGUUCAUACUUCGACGAAGAUAGACAAUUAAGACUUUAUUUUUUUGACAAAAAGUGAGAAUGAGAUGGAGAGAAGGGGGGAAGUAAAGUAAAUUAAAAGAAUAUAUAUAUAUAUAUAUAUAUAUAUAUAUAUAUUAAGGUCUACGUGGAUCUAGAGGGACUAAUUUGCAUAUAAGUUUCAAAAGCAGUCUAAUUUUCAUAUUAUGCAUGCAUCGAAGCCUAAUUUGCCCCAAAAUUUAUCGUGAAUAAUCUACUCGUCACCUAACUUAACCAAAAAAAACAAAAAAAACUACUACUAUUAUCUAUUUAUCUAAAAUUUAUAAAUUAGACAAUCCUAAUAAUAUUUUAUAUUAAUAUUAGUAAUCCUAAAUAAUUUCCAAUGCUAAUAUUAUUAUCACUAAUAUUAUUUUCAACUUCCUAAUCGAUAACAAUUUAAUUAAAGAAUUUCCAAAUUUCCAUAAAAUAUAUGUUCUUUCCAAAAAUCUAUUACCAAUAAUCACUCAUAUCUAUAUAUUUUAAACAAAAACUCCUAAAAUUGUUUUCUUUUUGUCUUUUAUUAAAUUAUUAUUAUUAUUAUUAUACCAACUUUGUACUUCACCAAAUUCUCAAAAUUUAUUUAUUUUUUUUUUAAUUUUUCACUCACCCAUGUCAGGUUUAGUCCUCUAAACUUGACAUAUCUGAAUCUUGAAAAAAAAUGUAGAUGCUUCUCUCAUCUCCUCAUCUAAUUCCCAAGCGGCCUCUCGAAUACUGUAAUUACUGCAUUAAACCUCUACCAACUUGGCAAUAGCAUAACCUAGUACCUUAUCUAUUGCACCUACAAUUAGAACAUGUACUUCUUCAUUAGUCAAAUCCUUUGACAUUUGAAUAGGCUCCAACUCUACAACAUGAGAGGGAUAAAAAACAUACUUCCUCAAAGCUGAUACAUGAAACACAUUAUGAAUCUUAAACAAUUUUGGGGGCAAGGACACUUUAUAUGCCAAGGUGGCUACUCUUUCUAAGAUUUCAAAUAGUCCCACAAACCGAGGAUUAAGCUUUCUGUUUCUCUCAAAUCCUAUUGUAGACUUUGUAGGCGAAACUUUUAAGAGAACAUGAUCACCAACCUCAAACUCCAAAUCUCAUAUGUGAUUAUCAGCAUAACUCUUUUGUUUACUUUGAGUUGCGUUCAAUCUUUAUUUAAUCAAGUCAACCUUUUCAAUAGUUAACUGCACAAGUUCAAGCUCCAAAAGUUCCCUCUCUCUGACAUCAUCCUAAUAAAUAUGAGAUCGACAUCUCCUACCAUACAACCCCUCAAAAGGUGUCAUUCCAAUGCUAUCUUGAAAGCUAUUAUUAUAGGCAAACUUUACUAAAGGUAAUUAAUCAUCUCAAUUACCUUUCAGGUCUAAAGUAUAAGCUCUCAACAAAUCUUCUAAAACCUGAAUUCCCUCUUUAAUUGACCAUCAAUUUGAGGAUGGAAACCAAUAUUAAAACUCAACUUAGUAACCAAAGCUUUUUGUAAACUAUGCCAAAAUCUAGAAGCAAAAUGAGGAUCCCUAUCGAAUACUAUAGAAAUAGGUACCCUAGGCAUUCUUACAAUCUCCUUGACAUAAAGAGAAGUCAAUUAGUCCAUGGAGAAAGUAACUUUCAUAGGUAGAAAAUGAGUAGACUUUGUUAAUCGAUCAACAAUCACCUAAAUAAAAUUAUUACUGCCUAAGUGGCAACCUUAUCACAUAAUCCAUGGUAAUAUGUUCACAUUUCCAUUUAAGAAUAGAAAGUGGUUGCAAAGACCUUAUUGGGCAUAUAUGCUUAGCUUUCACUUGUUAACACACCAAACACUAAGCCACAAAUUGUGUAAUAUCUCGCUUCAUGCCUGACCACCAAUAAUUUUGCUUCAAAUCUUUGUACAUCUUUGAGCCUCCUAUGUGGAUUAUAAGUCUAGGACAAUGAGUUUCCUUCAAAAACUCUCUCCUUAAGUCUCCAUCAUUUGGGACACAAAGUCUAGUCCCAAAUAUUAAGAUUUCAUCAUAUGACAACAUAAAGGCAAGCUUACCGCUCUUUUUAACUUCCUUCAUAAGUUGGACCAAUUACAAAUCAUUCUUUUAUGGGGUCUUAAUUAUCCUAACCAAGUCUUGUUGUACUAUGAAAUUCACUACAAGAGAUCUUGAGUUCUGAACAAUGAUAUGGAUUUGUAAACACCUCAAAUCCUUUAGUAACCGCCUCUAACAACUUCUAAUAGUUGCUAAGGAACCAAUUGAUUUCCUGCUCAAGGCAUCAACCACAACAUUUGCUUUCUUUGAAUGAUAUUGAAUAACGUCGUCAUAGUCCAUAAGUAACUCUAUCCAUUUCCUUUGUUUCAUGUUUAAUUAUUUUUAGGAAAACAAAUACUUCAAGCUCUUAUGAUUUGUAAAUAUCUCACAAGUUUCAUUGGAAAGGAAAUGUCUUUAAAUCUUAAGUGCAAAAACACCAUAACUAGCUCCCAAUCAUGAGUGGGGUAGUUUUGCUCACAAGGCUUUAACUGUCUAAAAGCAUAAGCCACAACUUUCUUAUUUUGCAUAAGAACACACCCCAAACCCUAAUGAGAAGCAUCAUUAUACACUCAUGUUCCUCUACUUCUCGAGUACACUAAAAUAUUAUCUAUAAAAACCAUGACAAACUAAUCUAGAUAAGGUUUGAAUACCCUAUAAGUUCAUAAAGGCAGUAGGUGCAUUAGUUAAACCAAAAGGCAUAGUAAAAAAAUCAUAAUGCUAUCUAGUUUCAAAAAACAUUCUUGGGUACAUCCUCAUUUCUAACCCUUAAUUGAUGAUAUCUAGAUUGAAGAUUGAUCUUAGAGAACACACAUGCACCUUGAAGCUGAUCAAACAAAUCAUUAAACUGAGAAAGAGAAUACUUGUUUCUCACCAUCACCUUAUUCAACUCUCUAUAAUCAAUGCAAAGUCUUAUUAAUCCAUCAUUCUUCUUCACAAAUAAAAUAGGAGCUCUCUUCACAAAUCAUCAAUCUGAGGAAGAGAAUACUUGUUUCUCACAAUCAUCUUAUUUAACUCUCUAUAAUAAAUGCAAAGUCUCAUUGAUAGGUAAUUCUUCUUCACAAAUAAAAUAUGAGUUCCUUAAGGUGAAACAUUGGGCCUAAUAAAACCUUUAUUUAACAACUCCUAAGGUUGAAUCUUCAACUCCUUAAGUUCUAUAGGUGCCAUCUUGUGUGAGGCCUUAGAGAUAAGAGUUCUUCAUGUUACCAAAUCAAUGGUAAACUCCACCUUCCUCUAGGGGGAAGCUAGGCAAAUUGUCUAGAAAGACAUAAGGAUAAUUCCUUACAAUGGGUAUCUUCUCCAACCUUAAAUAAUUUUCAUGACUCACCACAUAUGCCAAAACGCCUUAAUAAGCCUUCCUUAUCGGGCAAAUAACUAGUUUGCAAGGCUGAGAUCAUACACAAUGGUCUAUCCACAUGUUUCCCCUCACAACUAAACUCGAGUUGACAAAAAAUGUGAAACAUCACCCUUUUUCCAAAACAAUCAAUAGAGGCAUGAUAGGAAGCUAAUCAAUCCAUUCCCAAAAUCACAUUAAAAUGCUAAAGGUCAAGGAAUACUAAGUUAACUAACAUCUCCCUAUAACCAAUAUAUCAUCAUAAGAUAAUCUUUAAGCAUUCUAUUGGCCACAUCAGAAUCUCUUAAAAGAGUAGCAACAUUAAUCAAAUCAAAGUCCAUGCUAGCCACUAACGUACGUAAAAAACUAAUGAAAGAUAUUGAAACAAAAUAGUGCAUUGUGCUUGAAUUCACCACUAAGAAACCAAUUAGGCAAUUUAAAACCAUCAGGAAGAAUAUGUAGGAUUAAUUUGUACUAGAUGAAGCUAAAACUUAAACUAAUGUGUCACUCUUCUAUCCCUAAAGUAAACUAAAUCAAGUUCGCAACAAGAUCAUAACCUAAUGCUCUGAUACCAUUCUAUCACGCCCCAAAACCUACUCUAAGGGUGUGAUGGUCAUUUUACACCUCAAGAUUAAAGGCUUAAAGUGAGAAUGACUCAAAUAGUCAUCUUAUAACUAGAAGGUUAACAAUUACUAAAUUCUUGUUCAAAGUAUUAAAAUAAAACAUUUCUAUAAUCCUUAAAUCUCAACUUUAAAACUAACACAUCAAUCAAAGUACUAUUGUCCAAAUAACUUCAAACUCAAAUAAUUCAAAUAAUAAUUAAAUUCUAACAUCUAAAUAAUAUCCAAAAUAAAGUUUAAAAAAAAAAUCCUAACAAAGACAAUUUCCUAGCCUAACCAUCACUCCUCGCUUGAAUUGAGAAUACUAGAAAAAAAUUAUCAACGAAAGGGAAUGAACUCAAAACCCAAUAAGAAAUACUAACAUAGUUUCAUAAAUCAAACAAUUUCAAUUAUGAUUACAAAUUAGCAAUGUUUUCAUAACCAGACUAGUCAUUGAACCGAAAAAAUUACCGGUUCACGAUUCACUGAUAGGAUCGGCGGUCGUAUCGUGGUUGAACCGGUGAUGCAAUAAAUAUAUAAUUUAUAUAUUAUUUAAAAUUAAAAUAAUUAUAAAAAAUUAAAAAUAUAUAAAAUUAAAAAUUUUAAUAAUGUUUGAUUUUUAUAUUUGGUAUAUUAAAUUAAAUGAUAAAGUUUAAUAUUUUAAAUUUUAUUAAAUAGAAAUAUGUAAUAUUUAAGAAUGAAGAUAUAUUUAAGAUGAAAAAAAUUUAUAAUAUUUAAUUUUAUCUUUUUGUCUUUGUAUUUUAUUGUUUUAAAAUUAUUAUAUUAAUUAAUUUAUAUUAUUUUUUAUUAUAAUUAUUAUCAUAUUAUUAUUAUAAAAAUAAACAGGAAUUUAAAUAUUUACAUUUCUUUAAAGAUUUUAUAUAAUAAAAAUUUGAGAUAAAAACAUUAAUAAUAGAUUCUUAAUAUAUAUAUAUAUAUAUAUAUAUAUAUAUAUAUAUAUAUAUAUAUAUAUAUAUAUAUAUAUAUAUUAUUUUUAUUUUUUUUUAACAACAUCAUUUAAUAAAUAUGGUGCAAUGCUCAAUGGUUCAAAGACUUCAAACUUUAAUAUUUAAGAGAUCUGUGCAUCCAGUCCUUCAAGAAGCAAUGUUUUACUUCUAAUUAAUCCCAAUCCUAGUCCCACAUUGGAAGCACAUGAAUUCUAUGUGCUCUAUAAAUACCUUGCAACAUCCCUUAUAAGCCAAACUUGCCAGCAUAUUGGGCCUGGAGGCAUGACCCAAAUAUAAGUUUUAUAAGCAUUUCUUGUCAUUGGAUUGGGCCUAGUGGUUUGGACCAAAUAUGGGCUUAUAAUUAGUUUUAGUUUUAAAAGUAGUGGGCGUGGAAUGGGCCUCUUAAUAGUAAACAAAUAUUUGUAGCAAUUGAGGUCUGACCAGUUUAUAAAAAAUUGGACAGUUUGUCUGAUUCGGUGGUUCAACCGUCGGUUUGAACAGUUUCAUGCCAAUUUGACCAUGAAAUGGUUCAUUAAGAUGGACUGAACUGGAAAGUUCACCAGUUGACGAUUCGAACGGUCGGACCGGUUGGUUUGGUCCAAUUUUUAAAACAAUGCAAAUAAGAGAUACAAUAUACAAUCUUUUUCAUAAAAUGAGUUUGAAUAUACUAAAGCAUCCAAAUCUUUUCAUUUUUUUUAUUAUAUAUAUAUAUAUAUAUAUAUAUAUGUCAAAACAAUUUCAUACAAAUCAUGCAUUCAAAAUAUUUUACUUUGGUUAUUAGAUAAGAAAUGAUGCCCAGUUAAGUGAGACUAUACAAAUGGGUGGCUAACCUCAAAUUUAUUUUUUUUAAGGUGGACGAAACCAAAUACUACUAUACUAGUAACCUCUAACCAAACCCUUAAAGGUUGAGAUUCAAAGCAAUUACAUUCCCCACCAAUAAAUAUAAAGGUUAACUAUUAUAUCUCGUUGAUAAGGACAAUAAAUGUUAACUAUUAUAUCUCAUUAAUUAGGGCAAAAAAUGUCAACUAUUAUAUCUUGUUGACUAGGGUCAAACAAAUCAGAAUCAAACACUUCGUUUCAUUUAUUCAAACAUACAUAACAUAAUAUCUCUAUAUUUUUUUGUUAUAAUCAAAAGAAAAAUAUUUUAAUAUAUUUUUCAUGCAAAAUAUAUUUGAUCCAUAAAACAAAAAUAAUAUUUUACAUAUUUGAAAAUAACAUAUAAAAAGAAAGUCAUUUUCUUUUACAAAAUUCACAUUAAUUUCUCUUACCUCAAAUAUGCACUCAAAAACCUUAAAGAAAUUAAUUGUGUAGAAUCUACUCCUUACAUCACAUAAAAAAAAAAAAAAAAAAAAAAACUAUUACUAUUGACUAUUUAUCUAAAAUUUAUAAAUUAGGCAAACCUAAUAAUAUUUUAUGUUUGUAUUAGUGAUUCUAAAUAAUUUCCUAUGCUAAUAUCAUUAUCACUAAUAUUAUUUCCAACUUUCUAAACCAUAACAAUUUAAUUAAAGAAUUUCCAAAUUUCCAUAAAACAUAUGUUCUUUCCAAAAAUCUAUUGUCAAUAAUCAUUCAAUCAUUCAGCCAUACAUUUUGUUCGAUAUUUUGGGACAAGAGCAUCUAUUUUCAAUCCCAUGUGUAGCAAGAAGGGAGAGCUUUGAAUUUACUUCCAUUAUCAGAUUAUAAACAUUGUAAUCAACAAUUGAAUUGAUUUUCAGCUAAGGUUUUGAACUUAUGGAAGGUAGGCAAAACUUGAUCUUUAGUAUGUAAGGGAUAAAGCCAAGAAAACUAAGAAAAAUUAUCAAGGAAUAUUAAGAAAUAACUUGCACCAGUUGUGGAGAUAACAGUGGCAGGACCUCACAAAUCGGUGUGAACUAAAGCAAAAGGAUGAGAAGCUCUAGAUUCAGAUAAUGGAAAAGGUAAUCUCUGGCUUUAUGCAUAUUAGUAAGCACAACAAACAUUAUGUCUAUGGCAAUCAUUAGAGAUAUUACAAGAUGUAAGAAUUUGCUUCAAAGUAUUAUCAACAUGAUGACCAAGAUGGGAGUGCCAAAGUUCAGCCAAGUUAUCCAAAUUCAUAAUAGAGAAGCCAUGACUGGAAGUAAAUUAAGAGGGCUGAAGGUGCAUCAUAAUAUUUAUUGUGUUUCCAAAAAUACAUUAAUAGAUUAAAUCCAAAAUCUUUUAUUUAUUUAUUUAUUAAUAAUUUUAAGAAGGUAGCUAUGAAUUGGAUAUUUAAAAAAAAUCAUUUUACAAUAAUUAAUCCCUCUCUAAUUUAUUUUGCAUGCAAUGUGAUAUUUCAUCCUUAUUAAUCAAAAUAAAUGUCCACAAAAAUAAUCAAAUUAAAUAAUAUAAACUUCAAAUUAUCAACUAUCAAGGUGUUCAUUUUGUUAGAUUCAUUAAAUCGAGGCCAACAUGUAUUAAACGAUAAAUUUAAUUAUUUUUAUAUUUGUCCAAAUAAUUCAAAAAAUUAAUAAAAUAUUUACAAGCUAUUGCAUGGUGGUAGAACAAGAAGUUUAGGUGGACCUUAUCCCAUGGGGGACGUUGAGAAGCUACUUACAAAGAUAAGGUUCCUGAUAAACCUUAUCUCACACAUCAUUCGUGCUUAUAAUUCCUUUACUUUUCAACUUUGUGAAGAUAUUUUUUUCAUUGAAUAAGAAAAUGUUACGAUAAUAAUUUCCAACGUGUGAUAAUUGGAAAAUUCGAGAAGGAAGAACAAGGGCAUCAAUUUUUAGGCAGUAGACAAAAAUGUCAAAUUUCCACAUGUCCAAAAAUGUUGAUUCGCGACAAAACAUACGUCUCUUUUAGGUAUUAUCAGUUUGUUUGAUUUUGAAAUUUGAUUUUUUUUAUAGGGGCUUUUUGGAUACAAAAUUUUUACUUGUAGCGUUUUCUCAAGUAGAAAAUUUUUACAAGAUAACACUAAUUUUAGAUAUACUUUGCCACCAUCAUCUCUCCAAGGGAAUGUCUCAUGCACCAUUCAAACUUUAUGGUUAUAUUUAUCUUUUGAUUAAUUGUAUUGCAUGCAAUUUUGUAAAAGCCCAAUAUGAACUCAAAUUCUAUAGAAAUAUUAGUUUGUAAAGAGUUUGAAAACCAGGAAGAGAUGAUGAAUUUGCAGAAGUCAAAAGAAAAGGAUAAAUCUUCCAAACUCUAGAAGAUGGAUUGUGUGAAAAGCAAAGAGAAAAAUGUAUUAUACAAGUAAAGUCCAGAAGAUGGGCAAUUUUCCUACUCAACCUCCUCCCGAACUCUAUAAAUACUCCCCUAAUCUUCCUCAUAUAUUCAUCUCUCAAAAGUCUCUCUUCAUCUCUUUCAUAACAUUCAACUUAGUCUCUUUCUAUUGUUUCUCAUAAAAUCAAGGUUUGUACUCACUCUUAUCUAUCUAUCUAUCUAUUUAUAUGUAUAUGUUAGUGGCCUUCAAUGUACACAUCUGAGAACUAUGGAUGAAUGAUAUGACCUGAAUUUCAAAGAUGAAGGUUGAGCUUGUUUUUCCACAUUAGCCCACUUUGUCUACUCUACCCCAUUACUCCACCUGAUUUUCAUUAUCUCUCUACAUGAUCUUAAUUGUAGUCUUAACCUUUUGAUCUGUGUUUUGCAGGCAGUCGUUCAUUUGCUUUCUUUCAAAUAUACAGACAUAAUCCAUGGAGUUGAACUUAGCACCAAAGUUUGCACAAAAGAUCUUCGAAGGAGAAGGUGGAACAUAUUACCGUUGGUCAAGUGCUGAAUAUGAAUUGCUCAAGGAAGCAAAGGUUGGUGGUGGAAGGCUUGUUCUGCAGCCUCGUGGCUUCGCCCUCCCUCACUAUGCUGACUCCAACAGAAUUGGUUAUGUUCUUCAAGGUCUGUAAAUCCCCGAGCUUUUUAUGUCUUAUUCUUAAUUAGAACUCUUUUUCUAUUUCUUUUUUUUUUUUCUUUAGAGAAUUGUUAAUUAUUCCUCCCUAAAAUAUCCACCUCAAUUUUCUUUUCUUUCUCAAAAAUUAGAACAAAAAGAGUGCACACAGCCAUGGUAGUCGGCUGUGACUGGUGUGAGAGGGAGAGGGAGUCGCCAUGACAUGCAAGAAUGAAGAAGAGAAGAAAGGAACAAGACUAGAAUUGAAGAAAGAAAAGGGAUAAGAGAGAGAUGAAAGAAGUUGAGGGCUAGGGUUAUAUUUGGGAAAAGGAAAAAGAAAUUGAAAAGAGAGAGAGAGAGAGAGAGAAAGUGGGCCCUUCAAUAUUUCUCUUUUAUUUUUUUUAUGUUUCUGUCAAAAUGAUUCUCCGAUAUUACCCACUGUGCCAUCAAACCCUAUCCAGUGGCUCAUUUAUGAAAAUAUAUUUUGUCCACAUCCAGGCAGCUGUGGAGUAGUUGGAAUCGUACCACCCAAAGCAUCCCAAGAAGUGGUGUUGAGGCUCAAGAAAGGAGAUAUAAUACCAGUGCCCUCUGGAGCAGUUUCAUGGUGGUACAAUGAUGGAGACUCAGAACUAAUUAUCGUAUUCCUUGGUGAAACUUCCAAGGCUUAUGUUCCCGGAGAAUUCACAAACUUCCUACUAACCGGAACUCAAGGAAUCCUUGGAGGUUUUUCCACUGAAUUUAACUCCAGAGCCUAUGAUAUCAACAACGAAGAGGCCAAAAAGCUUGCAAAAAGCCAAUCUGGCGUCUUGAUAAUUAAGCUACCAGAGGGCCACAAAAUGCCCCACCCCUGCAAGAACAGUACUGAUAAAUUGGUGUUUAAUAUUGAUGCUGCAUUACCUGAUAUCCAUGUCCAAAAUGCUGGAUUGCUUACUGCAUUGACAGCAAAGAAGUUUCCCUUCCUUGGAGAAGUUGGGCUCAGCGCCACCCUUGUGAAGCUGGAUGCCAAUGCCAUGUCCUCACCGAUGUACGCUGGUGAUUCGUCGGUUCAAGUAAUUUAUGUUGCAAAAGGGAGUGGAAGGAUUCAAGUUGUUGGUAUCAAUGGUGAACGUGCCUUGGACGCGAAAGUGAAGGCUGGUCACUUGCUGCUUGUGCCAAGGUUCUUUGUGGCUUCUGCCAUUGCAGAUGGUGAAGGACUGGAGUACUUCUCAUUGAUAACAGCUACAGAGUAGGCAUCAAUCUAAUAAAUUGUUUUCUCUUUAAACAUCAUCGAUUGUAGGGUUAAUUACUAACUAUUUGUUAUUUGUCUUUUGUUCGUUUACAGACCUAUAUUUGGCGAAUUUACUGGGAAAACAUCAGUAUGGGGAGCAUUAUCUCCACAUGUUUUACAGGCCUCUCUCAAUGUGGCUCCAGAGUUUGAGCAGCUUUUCAGGGCAAAGAUCAAAAAGAGCACCAUUCUUGUUCCUCCACAGAACUAGAUUGAUUAAUAACCAAGGGCCCUUAUGAUGUAUUAUCAUUUGUUUUCAGGAGUUACAGGGCUAUUAAAAUACAAUAAUUGUACUCCUAAGUGUGUCUUUUAUAUGUACAUCUGUGAGAUGGAAAAUGUUGUACAACUAUUAAUUAUAUGGCAAUAAGUUGUUCCUUUGUGUGAUCAGAAAAUCUAUUGCUGCAUUGAUUUUGAAAAAUUUCAAGAAAUAGCCUAUUAGAAGCCUUAAAUUAGGUUGUGAACCUUCUUGUACUCAUUGCGAGUGCAUAUUUGUCUAUGAGAGUGAUGGGUUCAUUCCCAUCAUUUACCUAAUUGACCAAUGAAUGUUGACAAUGCUAUCAUCUCUUUGCUUCAAUCAAACUCUGUAUGUAAACUACACCAUUCAAGUCAUCAUCAAUAAAUCUCCUAAAAAUGAAAGAGAGAUUUAAAUGUGCCUACGCUUUAUGGUCUUAUACCAAUCAAAACCUACACAAUCAUUCAUGUUCUUGACACAAUAUCUCAUGCUUCUUAAUGAAUAUUUCAACUUCAUACCGAGAGUGACAAAUUAUAUGUAUCCUCUAUUUUUGUUCAAAGAAUCUUUCAAGAUUGGUCUUAAAAUUAAACUUGAGAGGUGGGGAACUAAGGCUAAAAGGAUGACUACAUUCACGUGUAUGCCCCUCAAUUCAAUGAAGUAAUUUAUUUAUUUUCAAACGGUUGAAGAUAAAUUUGGAGAGCUACAUCAUAUUGUGGACCACUAAUUUUUUCCUAACAUGGGAUAGAAUAAGAAAAGAGAUACUAUAUCUUAUCCCAUGUCUGGAUGGUGAUAGGAUAGAAUCAAUUAUAUCAUCAAUUAUCCUAUCCUAUAUUCAACCAAACAUUGGAUAUGAUAAGUGUUGAAUAUAUUAUUCCUGAGAUAUGUUAAUUUCAUACUAAGAUAUGAAAUAUGCAUAUCCCAUAUAUCAUAAAUUUAUUUUUUAUUUUUUUAUACUCAUUUUGUAAAAUAUUUUUUUAUUAUAAAUUAAAUUCAUGAUUAAAAAAUAAAAAAUAUUAAUAUAGAAUAUAUAAUAUAUAAUUUAUUUUUAUAUAUCAAAUAACAUAAUAUAAAAAUUUUAAUUUAUAAAAUUUAAAUAAUUUAAUCAUGAAUAUUGUCAAAUAUAAGAGAAACUUCAUUUUUUAAAAUAAAAAAAUUAGAAUGUGAUAUAAUUUUUAUUUUAAACAUUAAAAAUAAUACAUAUUGGUGACUUUUUAGUGAUAACAGAUGAAGAAUGGGUAGAAUUGUCAGGGUAUAGGUAGGAUAAAAAGAGGUAUGAGAUGACAAAGAGAUGGAGUGGUCAAAUGAUUGGUGAAAUGGAAACACCACUUCAUCAAAGAUGAUAUGCCGAGUUAUAUGCAUUCUGCCAGAAUUGUAAUCUAAGCAAAACUAACCUUUGUGAAUUGUGCAAAGUGAUGUUAGGCAUGCGAUUAAUAAGGAAUAUGACAGUAUGGAACGCAUAGAGCCAGAACUUCCAAGGUAAAGAAGUAGUAGCUAAGAGAGCCAAACCAGUUUCUAAUAUGUGCCUCAUCUUUUCUGUUUUGGGGUAGAAGCAUCUGUUUUCAAUCUCACAUGUAGCAAGAAAGAGGGUGAAAGCUUUGAAUUCACCUCCAUUAUCAAAUUAUAAACAUUAUAAUCGAGAAUUGAAUUGAUUUUCAACUAAGGUUUUGAACUUAACAAAGGUAGGCAAAGCUUGAUCUUUAGUAUGUAAGGGAUGAAGUGAAGAAAAAUGAGAAAAAUCAAGGAAUAAUAAGAAAUAAUUUGGACUAAUUGUGGAGAUAACGGUGUUAAGAUCUCACAAAUCAGUACAAACUAAAGCAAGAGGAUGAUAAAAAAGCUCUAGAUUCAAAUAAUGGAAAAAAUAAUCUAUGACUUUUUGCAUAUUGGCAAGCACAACAAAUAUUAUGUCAAUGAAAGUAAUUAGAGAUAUUACAAGAUAUAAGAAUCUGCUUCAAAGUACCAACAAUAGGAUGACCAAGGCGAGAACACCAAAGUUUGGCCAAGUUAUUCAAAUUCCUAGUAGAAGAGCCAUGACCGGAAGUAAGGAGGGCUAAAGGUGCAUCACAAUAUUUAUUGUGUUUCCAAAAAUACAUUAAUAGAUUAAAAAUUAAUCCAAAAAAAAAAAUCAUUUUACAAUAAUUAAUCCCUCUCUAAUUUAUUUUUCAUUACUGCGAUAUUUCAUCUUUAUUAAUCAAAAUAAAUGUCCAAAAAAAAUAUCAAAUUAAAUAAAUAUAAACUUUAAAUUAUCAACUACAAAGAACAAUCAAAUUUAAGAAUCUUUUAUGUAUCCUCUAUUUUUAUUGAAAGAAUCUUUUAAGAUUGCUUGCUUGGGUUGGGUGAGAAUAAGAAUGGGGUUUAAUAUCCUUCAUUCAAUAAUCCCAUGUCUAAUAAGAAUGGGGUUUAAUAUCCUUCCUUCCUUCGUUCAAUAAUCCCAAGUCUUAUGAUUUAUGGUUUAUUAUGUUAUUAGAAUUUUGUGGGUUGCUUGAUUAUUAUGAUUUUUAUGAUUUGUUGGGUUAUUGGGAUUUUGUGGUUUGUUUAAUUGUUAAAACUUAAUAGAAAAUAGUUUUUUUUUUUUAAUUUAAUCUUAGCGCUUUGGUGUUAGAUAGAGCACUUUUUAUUUUUAAGAAGUGUAUCCUAAUUUAAAAAAUAAAAUAAAAGUCUCACAAAUUUUUGCAUUUUAUAUAAAAAUUAUUAUUAUUAUUAUUUAUUUUUAAGAAAUGUAUCUCUUAGUCUCUCUUGGUAUGAUUUUCUUUUUCAUUUUGGUUUUGAAUUUUUGGGAACGAGCAUGUGCUAGCAUGAAUAUGGGAAAUGAUCAAUUAUAAGGGAAAUAAUGAAAUAGAGAGAUAAGGAGAUGCAUAGAAUUAAAAAUAACAAAUAAAAAAUAAAAAUAAUCAAGAAAAUGCACCAUACCAAGAUUCCGCCCUAAUCCACAUUCCCAUAAAUUAAUGACAAUCAAAUAUUAAUAAGGAUUAAAUACACUUACCUUCCUCUUCAUUGUUAGUGUAUUUCACACUUUUCCCUCUUAUAUUUUUAGGUCAAAAUUUUACUCUAAACUUGUUAAACACCAACAUUUUGCACCUAAUUGCAAACUCUUUGUAAAAUUAUAAAAGGGAUCGUUUUUUUUUUCACUAUCUCGUUCAAGCACUGAUUUAAACUUGGAUAGAAAUAACUUUGAAUUAACAACUUUCAAGUGAAAUUUCUUAAAUGCCUUUAAAAUAUAGUAGUUACUAAUUUUGAUUUUUAAUUUUAUAUAGAUGUUUGCAUGACUAGUUGUGAUUUUUAUAUGUCAUUACACAGUUUGGCAACUUCGAAUUUAAAUAAUAAAUAUUUUUUUUUUAUUACAUUUUCAACUUUGUUUCUUUACUUAACAACUUAUUCAUGAACUUUUUAAUAAGUUUAAGAGGUAAAUUGUUAUUUUUUAACAAAUCUAGGAAACAAAGUGUUGACUUUUGAAUGUGAAGGGUCAAAAUGUAAAAUAGGCCAAAGAUUAAAAGGGUAAAUUGUAUUUAACCCUAUUAAUAAUAUUUGUUUCUUUUAAUUUUAGGGUAUUCAUUAUUAUUAUUUUUAUAUAACUUACUAUAUAAAGUUUGAAAAAAAAGGGAUUUAAUACAUUCAUUAUUAAAUUAUCAAACUUUUUAGCAUGUACACUUGGGUAAAUAUAGACUCCUCUUUGUAGUUUAUAUAGGAUAAUAUUUACGUCUUCUAGUGAAUUUGAUAACAAAAGGAGUAGAAUAAUUUUAUUUUUAUUAAAAUAAGGAUAAGUGUGAUGUUUUAGAUAAUUUAAUUAAAUAAAAAUCUUCUUUCUAUAUUGCAUUUGAGGAAGAAAAAUGAUAGGUCUCUUCCAAGGAUGCCAAGAGGCCACCUCAUAAUUUAUCUUCUACAUUGUCUUUAAGGAAAACUUGAUAGGAUUAGUUAACUUAUGUCUAGGUUUGCUCAUUGUCUUUAAGGACAACUUGAUAGGAUUAGUUGACUUUGGUCGGAUAUAAUCAUGUUUCAAUCAAAUUCAUGUCCAUUUAUAUAACAUGUUUAACAAAAAAAUUACAAAUUAUUUUUUGAUCAACCUACAUAAUAUAAAUUUGAAUAGAAUUGAUCCAUUUAAUAAUUAUGUUGGUUAACCUUAUUAUAACCACAUCAUAUUUAACUUGCAUUUAACUCAUUAAAAAUUUGAUUUUAAAUAACUAGAUUAAUUGAGUAAAAAAUGUAUAAUAUUGUUUGGAGGUUAAUUUCGUCUUGAUUAUUAAAUAAGAUUUUAUUGGAAAUCUUUAGAUUAUCUUUUGAAAAAGUCUAGGAUUCAAUAUAUAAAAAAAAAGAGUUGUUUCACCGUUCAAUUCUUCACCCUAGGUCGAGAAUGGAACCAUAGUAAAAUCGGGAAUCACUUUGUUUCACAUCACAAAAAGCCUUUCACCUCUUUUCAGAUAACUUUUCUUCUAGAGUUCUCUUUGUCUUUUUUUUUCAGAGAAGAAUUAAAAGUAAGCAAGAGAGUGAGUGAGAGAGAUCUCUUUUUAUUAUUAUUAUUUAUUUAGUGGGUGGUUUCUAACUGUUCCAACUCCCACAAAUUGCUCCCCGCAAUCUCUAAUUUGGUUGGAUCGGGUUAGGUCAACCUAACUUAGACAACCACCCAACUCCAAUAGAUUUCAUUACUAAAUGGGCUACAAAACUUGGUAUCUAUUUGAUAAUUGGUUGAUAUUUGAUACUUUUAAUUCAAUUAUGGUUCGUAUCCUAUUUGAAAUGAUUUAUUUAUGACCCAUCAACAUAAAUUGUCAUCCUUACAACUUCCUCAUUUAAUUUUUUAAAAUUAUUUUUAUUUUUAUUUUAUAUUUUAGUUAUAUUAAAAGUAAAUAUAAUUUAAAAAUAAAUAAGUAUUAUUAAUUUUUAUAAUUUAUUUUGAUAAUAAUUUUUUAUAUAUGUUUCUAAUUUUUUAUUUAUGGUAUAUAUAAUCACAAUAAGGCAAUAGGUAAAUUCGCCCUAGGUUAAAAAAAAAAUUUCUAAAUGAGACCUGAACUUAUAUAUAUCUCUUUGGCCAAUAUCAUGUUUAUUUUCAUCCCUAAUUUGUCCAAGUCUAAAUAAUUUAGUUUCUUUAGGCCUAGCACUUUAAAAGUUCCAAUUGAAUUUAAAAUAUUACUUUUAGCAUUUGAAAAGCUCUAUGAAAUAAGAUUUAUAUGUCUUAUUAUUUAUAAUGCUUAAGAAAACUUUCAAAUUUAGAAAGACAUUAUUACAUCCAUCUUAGAUAUGAUUUAACAUUAUUUAGAGUGUGUUUGAAAGUGAUUUUAGAAAACGUUUUUAACAAUUAUAACACUUGAAUGAUAAAAUUUUUUAAGUAUUAAAAAUAUUAAAAGCUCUUCUUAAAAUCAUAACCAAAUUAGUUUUUACAGUAUGUUUAACACUAAUUAUAAGUUCUUUUUAACUUUAAAAGUGUUUUUGAAAAAAAAUUAGAUGUUUGACAAAAUUUUAAAAAUUACUUGUAGUAAUUUUUUAGAGAAAUACUUUAUAAGUGAUUUUCCUAAAAACUCUUUUUGAGAAAACACUUCUAUUAAAAACACUUUGAGUAGAAAUAUUGUCAAACAUACUCCUAGUAUGUUUCAAAAAAUAUAUGAAAAUAUUAGAUCCAAAAAUCUAUUUUUAACAUUAUAUUUGAUUACAACAAAAUACUAAAGGGAGAAAAAAAAAAUUAAGAAAAAUGAUUUUGUUUGAUUGUACUAUAAAAAAUAUUAAAGAAAAUCAAAUAUAAUUAAAACUAAUUUAGAAACUUAUAUAUUUUAAAAUUAUUUAAUCUUUAUAUCGAUGAGUUGAAAUAAAUAAAAUAAGUUUAAAGAAUAAAAUGAAAAUGAUUUAUUGAGUUUUACUUUACCUUUUUUUAUUUUUUUUUAUUUUUCUUUUUUUCUACUUUUUCUUACAUUUUCCUUUAAAUUUUUUUGAACCAAACAUAGCCUAAGGAAUUAUCUACAAAGUGGACAUUUUUUUAUAAUUUAAAUUCAUUCUAAAAUAAAUAUUCGUCGUUACUCAAAAUAAGUAUUGUCCACAAAAAAAAUGAUCAAAUUAAAUAAUAUAAAAUUUUAAAUUAUUUGAUACAAUUGCAACCAAGAUGUUAAGAAUAAAAUAUUUACAAGCUAUUGAAAGUCGGAGACGUGACAUGUUGGGGUGGACCAAGACUUGUUCCCGCUAGAGUUGCUGACAAUCUAUUUAUAAAGAUAACGCUUAUCUGCAACAUCAUUUCCUUAUUUUUUUUUAACAUCUAAAAUCUUAGUUGUGAAGAUAUAUAUAUAUAUAUUGUUUCAUUGACUAAGAGAUUUUUUGGGAAUAAAGAAAGAAGAAAACAUGGUAAAAAUGAAAGAGGAAAAAGAAGAAAAUAAACGAAGACGACCAGAAAUGAAGAAAGAGAAGGGAAAAGAGAGAGAAGCAGCGAGGAAAGUUCGGGGUUAGGGUUAUAUUUUGGGAAAAGGAAAGAUAAGUUUUAUUUUUAUGUUUAUUUGUUAAAAAAGAGAGUGACACACCGUGACAACGAGAGACAAAGUGGGCCCUUUAAUAAUCCUAUCUACAAAUCCAGUGGCUCAUUUAUGAAAAUACAUUUUGUCCACAUCCAGGCAGCUGUGGAGUAGUUGGAAUGGUAUUCCCUGAAGCAUCCGAAGAGGUGGUGUUGAAACUCAAGGAAGGAGAUAUAAUACCAGUGCCCUCUGGAGCAGUUUCAUGGUGGUACAAUGAUGGAGACUCAGAACUAGUUAUCGUAUUCCUUGGUGAAACUUCCAAGGCCUAUGUUCCCGGAGAAUUCACAUACUUCCUAUUAACUGGAACCCAAGGAAUCCUUGGAGGUUUUUCCACUGAAUUUAACUCCAGAGCCUAUAAUAUCAGCAACGAAGAAGCCAAAAAGCUUGCCAAAAGCCAAACUGGUGUUUUGCUUAUUAAGCUACCAGAGGGUCAAAAAAUGCCCCACCCCUGCAAGAACAGUACUGAUAAAUUGGUGUACAAUAUUGAUGCUGCAUUACCUGAUAUCCACGUCCAAAAUGCUGGGUUGCUUACUGCCUUGACAGCAAAGAAGUUUCCCUUCCUUGGAGAAGUUGGGCUCAGCGCCACCCUUGUGAAGAUGGAUGCCAAAUACGCGGCAGAUUCGUCGGUUCAAGUAAUUUAUGUUGCAAAAGGGAGUGGAAGGAUUCAAGUUGUUGGCAUCAAUGGUGAACGUGCCUUGGACACGAAAGUGAAGGCUGGCCACUUGUAUGUUGUGCCAAGGUUCUUUGUGGCCUCUACCAUUGCAGACGGUGAAGGACUGGAGUACUUCUCAUUGUUAACAGCUACACAGUAAGCAUCAAUCUAACAAAUUGUUUUCUCUUUAAACAUCAUUGAUUGUGGGGUUAAUUACUAACUAUUUGUUACAUGUCAUUUGUUUGUUUACAGACAUGUAUUUGGCUAAUUUACUGGGAAAACAUCAGUAUGGGGAGCAUUAUCUCCACAAGUUUUACAGGCCUCGCUCAAUGUGGCUCCAGAGUUUGAGCAGCUUUUCAGGGCGAAGAUAAAAAAGGGCACCAUUCUUGUUCCUCCACAGAACUAGAUUGAUUAAUAACCAAGGGCCCUUAUGAUGUAUCAUCAUUUGUUUUCAGGAGUUACAGGGCUAUCAAAAUACAAUAAUUGUACUCCUAAGUAUUUCUUUUAUAUGUGUAUCCGUGAGAUGGAAAAUGUUGUACAACUAUUAAUUAUAUGGCAAUAAAUUAGGUUAUGAACCUUAG